AUUGAACGCUGGCGGCAGGCCUAACACAUGCAAGUCGAACGAGUGGCGGACGGGUGAGUAAUGUCUGGGAAACUGCCUGCUGGAGGGGGAUAACUACUGGAAACGGUAGCUAAUACCGCAUACCAUCGGAUGUGCCCAGAUGGGAUUAGCUAUUGGGUGGGGGAACGGCUCACCAAGGCGACGAUCCCUAGCUGGUCUGAGAGGAUGAACGGCCACACUGGAACGUAGACACGGACAGGACUCCUACGGGAGGCAGCAGUGGGGAAUAUUGCACAAGGGGCGCAAGCCUGAUGCAGCCAUGCCGCGUGUAUGAAGAAGGCUUUCGGGUUGUAAAGUACUUUCAGCGGGGAGGCGUUACCCGCAGAAGAAGCACCGGCUAACUCCGUGCCAGCAGCCGCGGUAAUUC
rnacentral:rRNA from 1 species